CCCCUCAACAAUACACUAUUCACAUCAGUUUAGCAGAUACAAACUGACGUUUUUCGCCGGAGCCCUUCUGAAUGUCCGUUUGUGCUCAAAUUUGACAGUCAGGCUCAGUUUUACUUAAUAAGUACAAAAAAAAUUUAAUCUUUCAGUUUCGACCAUAUUUGGUCACCGAAAGCUCCACCGAACUGUAAUCUCUAGCAGAUAGCAGUCGGAUUUUAUUUUCCACCUUCCGGGUGUCAGAAUGAUAUGAAACUUUAAAUCUAGCCUCAUAAAAAUAAUUUCGACAUAUUCUCUAAUUUUUAUAAUUUUCUGACACUGUGUAUUUUCUAUUAAAAUAUCAGCUCCGUUUCUCACAGAAAAUUUUAAAUCUUCUGUUUUCAUUCCGAUUUCAGCACGAGUCGUUUCCGACUUAUAUCUUACUUCUCUAAAUCCAAUAAAAAUAGUAUCUCACACUAUUUUUAUUUAUUUUUUACUUUUAUAUUAAAAUCUGAUAUAUUACAAGCCCAAAGUGUACUGGUACACUUCCUG
rnacentral:lncRNA from 1 species